rnacentral:rRNA from 1 species
UACGAGGGGGGCAAGCGUUGUCCGGAAUUAUUGGGCGUAAAGAGCGCGUAGGCGGUCCGAUAAGUCGGCUGUGAAAGUCAGGGGCUCAACCCUUGAAAGCCGGCCGAUACUGUCGGACUAGAGUCCGGAAGAGGCAAGUGGAAUUCCCGGUGUCAGCGGUGAAAUGCGCAGAUAUCGGGAGGAACACCAAUGGCGAAGGCAGCUUGCUGGGACGGUACUGACGCUGAGGCGCGAAAGCGUGGGGAGCAAACAGGG